rnacentral:rRNA from 1 species
GACGAACCGGUCGAACGUUAUUCGGAAUUACUGGGCUUAAAGAGUGCGUAGGCGGCCUAGAAGGUGGUGUGUGAAAUCCCUCGGCUCAACCGAGGAACUGCGCUUCAAACCACUAGGCUUGAGGGAGACAGAGGUGAGCGGAACUGAUGGUGGAGCGGUGAAAUGCGUUGAUAUCAUCAGGAACACCGGUGGCGAAGGCGGCUCACUGGGUCUCUUCUGACGCUGAGGCACGAAAGCUAGGGUAGCGAAC